rnacentral:misc_RNA from 1 species
GAUGAAGAACGCAGCGAAAUGCGAUACGUAAUGUGAAUUGCAGAAUUCAGUGAAUCAUCGAGUCUUUGAACGCACAUUGCGCCCCUUGGUAUUCCGAGGGGCAUGCCUAUUCGAGCGUCAUUAUCACCCCUCAAGCCUAGCUUGGUGUUGAGAACUGCUGUCAAGGCAGUCUCUAAAAUCAGUGGCAGUGCUGUCAGGCUCUAAGCGUAGUAAAUUCAUCGCUAUAGACACCUGGUGACCACUCGCCAGAACCCCCCCAUUUUUUAAUGAUUGACCUCGGAUUAGGUAGGGAUACCCGCUGAACUUAAGCAUAUCAAUAAGCGGAGGA